rnacentral:misc_RNA from 1 species
UUUUUUGAAAAAUUUGCAAAGUUCGUUAAAUAAAUAGAUAUUUGAAAAUAUAAUUAAAACUAAGAUAUACACCUGAAUAAUACGUGUAAAUAUAUCAAAUAAAAUAUUAAAUCCAUCAUUCUUAGAUAUCAUUAGCAUUAAUAAAACCAAAAUAACUCAUCUAUGAAGUUCUUGAUUAUCUUGAUAUUGAUUUUGAGAGCUUUGAUCAUC